CCGUAGCUCAGGGGAUAGAGCACCAGACUUCGAAUCUGGGUGCCGUAGGUUCGAAUCCUACCGGG
rnacentral:tRNA from 1 species